GGUUAAGCGACUAAGCGUACACGGUGGAUGCCCUGGCAGUCAGAGGCGAUGAAGGGCGUGCUAAUCUGCGAUAAGCGCCGGUAAGGUGAUAUGAACCGUUAUAACCGGCGAUACCCGAAUGGGGAAACCCAGUGUGAUUCGUCACACUAUCAUUAACUGAAUCCAUAGGUUAAUGAGGCGAACCGGGGGAACUGAAACAUCUAAGUACCCCGAGGAAAAGAAAUCAACCGAGAUUCCCCCAGUAGCGGCGAGCGAACGGGGAGGAGCCCAGAGCCUGAAUCAGCAUGUGUGUUAGUGGAAGCGUCUGGAAAGGCGCGCGAUACAGGGUGACAGCCCCGUACACAAAAGCGCAUAUGCUGUGAGCUCGAUGAGUAGGGCGGGACACGUGGUAUCCUGUCUGAAUAUGGGGGGACCAUCCUCCAAGGCUAAAUACUCCUGACUGACCGAUAGUGAACCAGUACCGUGAGGGAAAGGCGAAAAGAACCCCGGCGAGGGGAGUGAAAAAGAACCUGAAACCGUGUACGUACAAGCAGUGGGAGCCCCACCACUAAGCCAGUGGUGAACUCCACAUACGCAUCCUUUGCUGAGGAGACGGUUAACGGAGCGAAAGCGACGUUCAACCUCAAAAGAAGCAGAGGGGGCUUAGUGGUGGGGUGACUGCGUACCUUUUGUAUAAUGGGUCAGCGACUUAUAUUCUGU
rnacentral:rRNA from 1 species